rnacentral:rRNA from 1 species
AAUGUAUUUUUUUCUGGCUCAGGACGAACGCUGGCGGCGUGCUUAACACAUGCAAGUCGAACGGAAAGGCCCUGCUUUUGUGGGGUGCUCGAGUGGCGAACGGGUGAGUAACACGUGAGUAACCUGCCCUUGACUUUGGGAUAACUUCAGGAAACUGGGGCUAAUACCGGAUAGGAGCUCCUGCUGCAUGGUGGGGGUUGGAAAGUUUCGGCGGUUGGGGAUGGACUCGCGGCUUAUCAGCUUGUUGGUGGGGUAGUGGCUUACCAAGGCUUUGACGGGUAGCCGGCCUGAGAGGGUGACCGGCCACAUUGGGACUGAGAUACGGCCCAGACUCCUACGGGAGGCAGCAGUGGGGAAUAUUGCACAAUGGGCGGAAGCCUGAUGCAGCAACGCCGCGUGCGGGAUGACGGCCUUCGGGUUGUAAACCGCUUUCGCCUGUGACGAAGCGUGAGUGACGGUAAUGGGUAAAGAAGCACCGGCUA